AGAUGAAGCUUUUUUGUUUUGUUUCCAUUUAUUUCCGGUUGUCCCUUAUCUUCUGGGAGGACCUGGGUUACGGCUCCCUGGACAUGAAGGAAUCAGCCUUUCCUGUGGGAUCCUGGGCCUGACCUGUUCAGAGGGAGAAUGCGGAAUCUCAUGGGACAAGUUACAGUACCAUGGAAAUUCAGAGGAAAUGAGAUUGCUGUGAUCAGGAGAGAGGGAGAAUAGAAGGCCUCAUGGAGAAGAGGUUUUUCUUCUGAAGACUUUCCAGCAUUAUCUGGUCUUCUGGGUCCUUCUCAUUUCUCACUCUGGACUUCAAAGCUGCAGCAAUUCUUUGGAUCUGCAAAAGUGGGCAAGAAUUGAGUGGGUUGUUCGGCUGCUGUAGCUAUUCCACUGUCUCCUGCUUAAUCCUUUCUAACUGACUAAGUUUAUCUUUGUUAACUUCAGACUUCUGGAGCAAGGGGUCACCUCUAUCACACUGGAGUUGAUUCUCAGGGAGCUGGUGACAAACUGCCCUGUGGCUGCUGGGGCUGGUGACAGUGCAGCCCUGCAUGAUGCUUCUGUGCCCACACGAGCACAGCUUGAAGUUCCUUAGCGGGCAACCCUUGAGCUGUGGCAGCCAGGAGGGUGUUUUAAGGCAGCUGUCCCCAAACUAUUUGCCACCAGGGACGGUUUCAUUAGAAGACAAUUUUUCCAAAGACUAGGGUAGGGGGUGGUUUGGGGAUGAAACUGUUCCACUUCAGAACAUCAGGCAUUAGAUUCUCAUAAGGAGCACACAACCUAGAUCCCUUACAUGCAUAGUUCACAAUAGGAUCGGCUCCUAUGAGAAUCCGAUGCCACUGAUGAUCUGACAGGAGGUGGAGCUCAGGCAGUAAUGCUCGCCAGCCACUCACCUCCUGCUGUGCGGCCUGGUUCCUAACAGGCCACAGAUCAGUACCAGUCCAGGGGUUGGGGAUCCCUGUUUUAAGGUGUAUAUGGGGAGUAUUAUUCAGUCCAGGUUUCUGCUACCUUGGGAUACAUUUUUAUCUCAUAUUCCAAUUAGAAAUGUUUUUCCACAUCAAAUAAAGUAGAAUUAACACAUUAUAUUGGCAUAGUACACACACCCUCUAAAGAGCAUAUCGCAUCCUAGAGCAAGCAGACAGGGGCAGGGCACUAAGGGCACACACAGGUGGCAGGCAGUGGGAACAUGCAGGCGGACGCUGCAGCAGCUUUGGUGUGAAGACUGCGCUUCCAAUGGUCUGUGAACAAGGUCACCAGCAAAGUGGAGAAGAAUAAUGACCACCCUGGCUUCUCAGACCAGCGUGGCACCUGCAGAAGGGGAGUGGCCACACCCGGACGCAGGCAGAAGACAAACCCAGAGCACAGCGGAACAAACAAGCUCAUCCUCAGCCACACCCAUCAGAGGGUUUUCACCAACUCCCAAUGCUCAGGAAAUCAAUAUCAUAAUCACCUACAUCCGAAGUACAGGUCACAUAGGUGCA